rnacentral:lncRNA from 1 species
AGCAGAGAGGUUGCGGUAAGCCAAGAUUGUACAACUGCACUCCGGCCUGGGCGACAGAGUGAGACACUGUCUCAAAAAAAAAAAAAAAGAAAAAGAAAAAGAAAUAAAGAAAGAAAUCCUUUAUGCAAAAGGCAGAAACCUGUUCUCAAGGAAAAGAGCUAAGGUAGGCUGCCAGAUAAAAUGCUGAGGUGAUCCAGAAUUACUCCCGAACUCUACCAGCUGAAAUCCUCCUCAACUCACAUCAGACAAGACGGCCCUGCCACUUACCUGUCAGAUCACUUUGGGCAGUUUACAGGAGAGAAGAUGCAGCCUGGGAGAGAUGCAGCAGGUGUCUGAGGCCACACAGCAAGUCACCCAGGGCCAGGAUCUGAAGCUGGGUCUCUCCAGCUCCACUGCCUGGGCACUUUCUCCUCCACAGCGACCUUCAGGUCAUCAUGAGGAGCCUUUCGGACUAAAGCUAGAGAGCUGGGAUUCCAACAGUUCAGCAACCCAUGACUUCUCCAUGGCAGCUGCUGCCUGACCACCUAGUGCCUUUCCACUAAGAUUGUUCCUUCCCUCUCCUGAAGAUUAUCCUCCUGCCCCUCUCUCCCAAACAUCUGCGGUGUGCACCUGCUGCCCAAAGUUGAACUUUUUUUUGUUAGAGACAGGGCCUCACUGUGUCAUCCAGGCUGGAGUGCAGUGGCGUGAUCAUAGCUCACUGCAGCCUCCAACUCCUGGGCUCAAGUGACCCUCUCACCUCAGCUUCCUGAGUAGCUGGGACUACAGGCAUGCACCACCACGCCUGGCUAAUUUUUAAAUUUUUUGCAGAGACAGGGUCUAGCUAUGUUGCCCACCCUGGUCUUGAACUCCUGGGCUCAAGCAAUCUGUCUGCCUUGGUCUCCCAGCUCGCUGGGAUUACAGGCAUGAAUCACCAUGCCCGGUCCUCCAAAGUUGAACUUUUGAGACUCAGUUUCCUUCUUGGUAAAUUCAGGCUCCUAGGUGCUACCUCCUCAGAGACAUCCUCCUUGACCACAUCACAUGACCUCUCGCAGAGGCCAGAUUCUUUAAUGUAUUCAUUUGUCUAUUAUCAUGUUUCCCCAGUAGAAGUUGCACAAACGGCAGGGGCUUCAUCUGUUUUGUUUGCCGUUAUGUCCUUAGCACCUAAAAUUGUGCCUGGCACAUAUAGUACUCAGUAUGUAUUUGCUGGGUCAAUGAGUGAGUGAAUUUAUACUAAUAACAGCAGCUACCAUUUCUAGAGUGUUUACCAUAUAUUGGGCACUGUGUCAAUCUUCCCAACAACCCACAGACGAAGAUCAAUUAUUACACCCAUUGUACAGAUCAGGAAACUGAGUCAGGUUAAGAAACUUGCCCUAAAUCCUACAGUCUCACUUAGAACUUCUGACUGCAGUGCUCAUCAGAAUGCAUUGUCAACCCAAAGGUCAUUUCCAGCUCAGGUGGCUUCUAUCAAAAGAGCUCAUCCUGGCCUUUCCAAGAGCCAGACCUCCGACAUCGGUGGAGCCCUGUGCAUAGCUGGCCUCUCCUGGGCGUCUUGUCCCAAGUACAGAGACCUGGAUCCUUUCCCACUCAUGUGCAACAGCCCAAAAUUAAAAACAAAAGCCAUAUUAAAAAACAAAACCAA